GACAUAGGUCGCGAACGUUAUCCGGAAUUAUUGGGCGUAAAGGAUGCGUAGAUGGUUCAGUAAGUUACUGGUGGGAAAUCGAGGCCUAACCUCGUGGAAGUCAGUAAUACUGUUGAACUUGAGUGCAGGAGAGGUUAACGGAACUUCAUGUGGAGCGGUAAAAUGCGUAGAUAUAUGAAAGAACAUCAAUAUGGCGAAGGCAGUUAACUAUUCUGCUACUGACAUUAAGGCAUGAAAGCGUGGGGAGCAAAACGG
rnacentral:rRNA from 1 species